rnacentral:misc_RNA from 1 species
CGAUCGUAGGCGCCAUUGUGAUGUUCUUCAUACAGAAGAAAUUCCCAAACGGCUUCCGGAACAGAGACGGAUAUCUAAACCCGGUGUUUGACGACAGUAGCCGGUACUGACACACAGACAGACAGACAUACGUCGUUUUGUUGAUCUUUUAUACUCACGUUUAUUUAUAUUGUAUUGUACUAAGUACAAAUAAAAGCUGUUUAUUUCUGUACAAACU